AAAUACAGAAGAAUUGCCAGGACCCUCAACUGCACAAUCUUCAACAUCCCUGUCUGCAGCAUGGAAAAAUGAAAUUGACCCAUUCAAAUCAUCUCGAAUGUUCUGUGAUGAGUUGCUCUCCAUCAAUUCACACUGUCCAUCUCUAUCAUUACUCAUCAACCAGUUUGAUACUAUGGAUGAACAAGAUAGUACCCUGGUUUCAUUUUAUAAAAUGAACAGUGCUAAUUGGUCCACUCCAUUGAAAUAUAGAUUGACUGGAGAUGCAGCUGUUGGCAAGGGAGUUAACCGCCAUAUUUUGUCAAUGAUG